rnacentral:rRNA from 1 species
UACGAAGGGGGCUAGCGUUGCUCGGAAUCACUGGGCGUAAAGCGCACGUAGGCGGAUUGUUAAGUCAGGGGUGAAAUCCUGGAGCUCAACUCCAGAACUGCCUUUGAUACUGACGGUCUUGAGUUCGGGAGAGGUGAGUGGAACUGCGAGUGUAGAGGUGAAAUUCGUAGAUAUUCGCAAGAACACCAGUGGCGAAGGCGGCUCACUGGCCCGGUACUGACGCUGAGGUGCGAAAGCGUGGGGAGCGAACAGG